AUUGAACGCUGGCGGCAGGCCUAACACAUGCAAGUCGAACGGUAACAGGGUGAGGCUUGCUUCUUUGCUGUCGCGUGGCGGGCGGGUGUGAAAUGUCCGUGAAACUGUAUGUUUGCGGGGGAUAUAAACUGGAAACGGUAGCUCUAACAGCAUAUACUCGCAAGACCAAAAAGGAGGACAUCUGCGCACCUUGCGAUAGGGAGUGACCAGAUGGCAUUUGAUAGUGGGUGGGGUAAAGGGUCACCAAGGCGACGCUACGUAGCUGGUCUGAGAGGAUGAUCAGCCACAGUGGAACUGAGACACGGUCCAGACUCCUACGGGAGGCAGCAGUGGGGAAUAUUGGACAAUGGGCGCAAGCCUGAUACAGCCAUACCGCGUGGGUGAAGAAGGCCUUCGGGUUGUAAAGCCCUUUUGUUGGGAAAGAAAAGAAGCAGGUUAAUACCCCGCUGUUCUGACGGUACCCAAAGAAUAAGCACCGGCUAACUUCGUG
rnacentral:rRNA from 1 species